GGAGGAUCAUUGUAUUGUAUUGUUGUAGACUAGUCUCGGGAGGAUCAGUGUCUUGUUGUAGACUAGUCAAGGGAGGAUCAUUGUAUUGUAUUGUUGUAGACUAGUCUCGGGAGGUUCAUUGUAUUGUUGUAGACUAGUCUAGAGAGGAUCAUUGUAUUGUAUUGUUGUAGACUAGUCUAGUGAGGAUCAUUGUAAUGUAUUGUUGUGGUCUAGUGAGAAUCAUUGUAUUGUAUUGUUGUAGACUAGUCUAGUGAGAAUCAUUGUAUUGUUAUAGACUAGUCUAGAGAGGAUCAUUGUAUUGUAUUGUUGUAGACUAGUCUCGGAAGGAUCAUUGUAUUGUUGUAGACUAGUCUCGGGAGGAUCAUUGUAUUGUAUAAUUGUAGACUAGUCUAGAGGAUCAUUAUUGUUGUAGACUAGUAUAGGGAGGUUCAUUGUAUUGUUGUAGACUAGUCUAGAGAGGAUCAUUGUAUUGUUGUAGACUAGUAAAGGGAGGAUCAUUGUAUUGUAUUGUUGUAGACUAGUCUCAGGAGGAUCAUUGUAUUGUAUUGUUGUAGACUAGUAUAGAGAGGAU
rnacentral:lncRNA from 1 species